AGGCCAUGUGAGGAUACAGUGAGAAGGCAGCGACCUGCAAGCCAGGGAGAGAGCCCUCACCAGGAACAGACCCUUCUGGACCUUUGAUCUGGAACUUCUAACCUCUGAAACUCUUGGAACAGCAAGAUGCAAAAAUCCUGAGUCUUCAUAGCCAGCUCCUGCCGAAGAGAGAGGGCCUGGCAGCUGAGCUGGAUGCUUCAGGAGCAGAGGAUCUAUCAACUGCAGACCAAGCAUACGGAGACGCAGGCAGACCUGGAACAGAAACCCAGCAGCUCCAGCGGCUCCAACAGCACUUGGUGGCCGGACGGUCAGCCGCAGGAAGCGUGCCAGGGGCCAUGAGGCAGGAAAUGACCCAAUCCU